AACGUAGGAGACGAACGUUAUCCGGAGUUACUGGGCGUAAAGGGCGUGUAGGCGGUUUGUUAAGUCUGGCGUGAAAGCUCUCGGCUAAACCGGGAGAGGUCGUUGGAUACUGGCAAACUUGAGGAUGGUAGAGGCGUGUGGAAUUCCGGGUGUAGUGGUGAAAUGCGUAGAGAUCCGGAGGAACACCAGUGGCGAAGGCGGCGCUCUGGGCCGGUACUGACACUGAGGAGCGAAAGCGUGGGUAGCAAACAGG
rnacentral:rRNA from 1 species